AGUACGACCGCAAGGUUAAAACUCAAAUGAAUUGACGGGGACCCGCACAAGUAGUGGAGCAUGUGGUUUAAUUCGAAGAUACGCGCAGAACCUUACCAACACUUGACAUGUUCGUCGCGACUCUAAGAGAUUAGAGUUUUCGGUUCGGCCGGACGAAACACAGGUGCUGCAUGGCUGUCGUCAGCUCGUGUCGUGAGAUGUUGGGUUAAGUCCCGCAACGAGCGCAACCCUCACUUUUAGUUGCCAUCAUUAAGUUGGGCACUCUGAAAGAACUGCCAGUGAUAAGCUGGAGGAAGGUGGGGAUGACGUCAAGUCCUCAUGGCCCUUACGUGUUGGGCUACACACGUGCUACAAUGGCAUCUACAACAGGAAGCAAAACGGCAACGUUAAGCAAAUCCCGAAAAGAUGCCUCAGUUCGGAUUGCGCUCUGCAACUCGAGUGCAUGAAGCUGGAAUUACUAGUAAUCGUGGAUCAGCGUGCCACGGUGAAUGCGUUCCCGGGUCUUGUACACACCGCCCGUCACACCAUGGGAGUUGGUUCUACCUUAAGGCAAGGUUUUAAACCCUUGACCACGGUAUAGUCAGCGACUGGGGUGAAGUCGUAACAAGGUAACC
rnacentral:rRNA from 1 species